UGGAUGUGCUAUUGGUUCUGCCUCUUGGGAGGGCUCUGGUGAAUGAACUCGCUCUUUAGCAUCCCCAUACAACAACAACAAAAUGAGUCUGUAUGAGCUCUACUGACUAUACCCUCCCCCAUUAUAUGUUCAUCUUUGUUGCCAUGGUGUGAGAAGCAUAAAUUCAAACGCCUCUUUCAAAGAUAAGGUGACUUCCCAUUGGAUCUUCUGGGAACCUACACAGUUCACAAGAGUCAGGACAAUGGUGUACGGCCUUUUCUCUGUGCCAGUUUAUGGAUUAAUAUUGCUUCAGCACUGAAAGCUUCAUGACCAAAGUGAAAAGCUGGGGCCCUGGAUUACAAUGACACAUUCCCCUGGGCGAUGGCGCUACAUUUUCCAUCAUCUGUUGAGUUUGCCUUUAAGAUAAUAAAGAACAAUAGGUAAAACUAUAAGCAAU